CUUGGUUUGAAUAUAAUGCAAUGCAAAUGUGGUGGAAACAUGGUUGUGGCACUUUAGAAGCUGAUAUGAAAUCAUUUAUGGAUGAUGGUGAUGCAUUAGAGUUAGCUGCAUUUGUUGAACUAUAAAUGUGAGGUUGAAAUCUACACUGAGCCCAAACGAAAUACAAUGGAUGCAACAUUUAUGGAGAAUGCAAGAUAAAGGAAUAAGGGGAAAAAGGUGAAGAUGAUAUUAAUAAAUGUACUAUUGCUAGUGAGAAUUCUAGUGAUGACUCU
rnacentral:lncRNA from 1 species